GUUUACCAGAAUACAGUGUGAGAUAAAUGGCAGACACAUCUGGGAAGAGCCACUGGAAAUUUUCAUACAUUGCUCACCUCUCUCUCUUGGCUGAUCCACAGAGCUGAGCCUUCCAGGUUUGUCAUCCUGCCUAGAUCCAGCAGCAGCUUUGCAGGAGUCAGAAGCUACAGGAGCCAAAUCCCAAAGUGGGGAUGGAUGUCCACUUUUAAUAAGAAGGAGAAAACAAAGCAGGAAGGAGGAUUGUCACAGAAUGACUUGAAGUGAUCCUACUGAGGACCUGGAAUCUGACUUGAAGUGAUCCUACUGAGCAAAUUUCCCA
rnacentral:lncRNA from 1 species